rnacentral:rRNA from 1 species
AGCAGUAGGGAAUCUUCCACAAUGGGCGCAAGCCUGAUGGAGCAACGCCGCGUGUGCGAUGAAGGCUUUCGGGUCGUAAAGCACUGUUGUAUGGGAAGAAAUGCUAAAAUAGGGAAUGAUUUUAGUUUGACGGUACCAUACCAGAAAGGGACGGCUAAAUACGUGCCAGCAGCCGCGGUAAUACGUAUGUCCCGAGCGUUAUCCGGAUUUAUUGGGCGUAAAGCGAGCGCAGACGGUUGAUUAAGUCUGAUGUGAAAGCCCGGAGCUCAACUCCGGAAUGGCAUUGGAAACUGGUUAACUUGAGUGUUGUAGAGGUAAGUGGAACUCCAUGUGUAGCGGUGGAAUA